UUAAUGGUCACACAGUCUGGGAGAAGAGGGCUUAAUGGUCACACAGUCUGGGAGAAGAGGGCUUAAUGGUCACACAGUCUGGGAGAAGAGGGCUUAAUGGUCACACAGUCUGGGAGAAGAGGGCUUAAUGGUCACACAGUCUGGGAGAAGAGGGCUUAAUGGUCACACAGUCUGGGAGAAGAGGGCUUAAUGGUCACACAGUCUGGGAGAAGAGGGCUUAAUGGUCACACAGUCUGGGAGAAGAGGGCUUAAUGGUCACACAGUCUGGGAGAAGAGGGCUUAAUGGUCACACAGUCUGGGAGAAGAGGGCUUAAUGGUCACACAGUCUGGGAGAAGAGGGCUUAAUGGUCACACCGUCUGGGAGAAGAGGGCUUAAUGGUCACACAGUCUGGGAGAAGAGGGCUUAAUGGUCACACAGUCUGGGAGAAGAGGGCUUAAUGGUCACACAGUCUGAGAGAAGAGGGCUUAAUGGUCACACAGUCUGGGAGAAGAGGGCUUAAUGGUCACACAGUCUGGGAGAAGAGGGCUUAAUGGUCACACAGUCUGAGAGAAGAGGGCUUAAUGGUCACACAGUCUGGGAGAAGAGGGCUUAAUGGUCACACAGUCUGGGAGAAGAGGGCUUAAUGGUCACACAGUCUGGGAGAAGAGGGCUUAAUGGUCACACAGUCUGGGAGAAGAGGGCUUAAUGGUCACACAGGCUUAUCGGGGACGACACUUUCCACUUUUAUGAGAUUUUUCAUUGAAAGGAAGUCUCUUCUAAACAAAAGUCUAGUCUUAGCAGAAAGUUUGUCGCUGAUAAGCCUGUGAGACUGCACAGGCUAACCUGGGACGACACUUAGCGGACAUGCAUUAAGGCCUGUUUUCCCAGUAAGAGGCUCAAAUCUUUUUCUUCUCUCUCUGAGUGUUUACUUGUAUGUAUGGGAUGACUUCUCCAUAAGAAAGGGUAAAUAAUUUGGAGGCUAUAGUUUUUGUUGUAAAAAAGUGGUAAAAUUAAUCUGGAUAUUUUCUAUGUUCAGUAUUUUAGCAUAGUUGAAUAACUGGUAUCAAAAGUGUGUGAGCGUGACAACACAAAUCAUAAUAAUGUGAAUGAAGUUAUAAUUGAAAUGCUUCUACUAAAGCUUUUGUUAUGCCCCCCUUCGAAGAAGAGGGGGUAUAUUGCUUUGCUCAUGUCGGUCGGUAGGUCGGUCGGUCCGUCCACCAGGUGGUUUUCGGAUGAUAACUCAAGAACGCUUGGGGCUAGGAUCAUGAAACUUCAUAGGUACAUUGAUCAUGACUCGCAGAUAAACCCUAUUGAUUUUGAGGUCACUAGGUCGAAGGUCAAGGUCACAGUGACCCGAAAUAGUAAAAUGGUUUCCAGAUGAUAACUCAAGAACGCAUACGCCUAGGAUCAUGAAACUUCAUGGGUAGAUUGAUCAUGACUCGCAGAUGACCCCUAUUGAUUUUGAGGUCACUAGGUCAAAGGUCAAGGUCACGGUGACCCGGAAUAGUAAAAUGGUUUCCGGAUGAUAACUCAAGAACACAUUCGCCUAGGAUCAUGAAACUUCAUGGGUAGAUUGAUCAUGACUCGCAGAUGACCCCUAUUGAUUUUGAGGUCACUAGGUCAAAGGUCAAGGUCACGGUGACCCGAAAUAGUAAAAUGAUUUUCGGAUGAUAACUCAAGAACGCAUAUGCCUAGGAUCAUGAAACUUCAUAGGUAGAUUGAUCAUGACUCGCAGAUGAUCCCUAUUGAUUUUGAGGUCACAAGGUCAAAGGUCAAGGUCACGGUGACCCGAAAUAGUAAAAUGAUUUUCGGAUGACAACUCAAGAACGCUUUUGCCUAGGAUCAUGACACUUCAUAGGUACAUUGAUCGUGACUUGCAGAUGACCCCUAUUGAUUUUCAGGUCACUAGGUCAAAGGUCAAGGUCACAGUGACAAAAGUCGUAUUCACACAAUGGCUGCCAGUACAACGGACAGCCCAUAUGGGGGGCAUGCAUGUUUUACAAACAGCCCUUGUUUUUAUGUCUGAUAUACUUGGAGAUAUAAUUGAAAAUGUUAUGAUGUAGUUUCACAGUGUUUUAUCACAUAUUUGAUAAACUCUUACCAAGUAUGGUACACAUUUUAACAAAUAUAUUUUUUGUUUCAAUAGUUGCGUAAUAGGAUUAUCCGAUUGAUUUGUAAUAAAUGUUGUGUACAUAUUGUUUGUACAUAUUAUUUACUCUGAUAAAGAACUGUACAAUUUAUGUGUAUUUAUAUUUAGGUUUAUAAGAUUCUGGGUAUGACAGUUUUGUUGGAAGUAUGUUAUGUAGGAUGUUGUAUUAACAUUGCAUUGUUUUAUUUGAAAUGCCCUAUUUUUGUAUUGAUUAUAUUCGCUAUUUAUUCAAUGUGUGCACACUGUAAAGUGAAAGUGCUAUCAGAUACAAUAUUUAUUUUUGUAAUCCCCAAAAGGUCGCCACUUUGUUAGUCUGACCGAAUUUUAAUUUUGAUGGAAUUGAGUUUGCAUGGGUCUGAAACGAAUUUCCAAAAUAAUGGUUUCAUUUGUACUCAUUUUCUGUCCGUCUAUCACACUUAUUUUUUCUGGGCAAGAUUUCAGAAACUAAUGAUCCAAUUAGCUGAAACUGUAUAUGCAGGAUCAUAGCUACAGGGUCGACAUGUACAUCCUGGGUAGGCUGUCCAGUCCAAUAAUUGUUCAGGGAGUUAAUUGCUCUUUGAUUCGGUUUUGCAUGAGACCUUAGACACUUAUGAUUCUAAUUAAAAGCAAAUUGAUAUGCUGCAUUCCUAUUGGCCAGACAUGGGUAUCCCUGUCAGGUCUUGUUGGUCCCAUGAUUUUUCAGGGAGUUUUUGCUCUUCAAUUAUUAAUAUGGCAUUUCAAACUGUUGCCCAGACUAGGAGCGUGUAUACCAACCACUGCGCUUUAUGGACAGCCAACUGACAUUCAAAAUUAUUAAAUGCACUUAUCUUACAGGAUGUACAUGAGAAUAUUGUAAUGCAGUUCUGCGACAUUGAAUUUCAGGAGUUAUUGCCACUUAAACAAUAAUCGGGUGCAACCACUUUCAUUCUCCAAGUAAAGGAUUAAGAAGAUUGUAUUGACAAUGGUGUCCCUUAUUGUCAUCAUCCAUUUGACUAUUUAUGUUAAAAUGUAAAAGUCUCUAAUAAGGGCUGAGUGAAUAGCCAGGCUUGUUUUCAUAUUGGUCCAACUCUGGGAAAGAGGGGUUCAAUGCAUGUGCCCAAAAUAAUAAUAGAUGAAUGCAUAUUAGGCUUCAAUGUUGCUUAUACUAUGACUACUGGUUCAUACGAUGCCAUUUUUAUAAAUAUCUAUGCCAAAUUUAUUGAAAUAGACUUGAAAAUGUGUGUCGCCAGGUAACAAGUAAGAAAAAAAUCAGCAUUUUUAUCUAGGGUCUUCACACGGUUAAAUUAUUUGUGCACAAAUAAUAAUAGAUGAAUGAUUAGAUUAGACAGUAUAGUCCACAAUCGGGGCUUAUCAGGGACAACCCUUUGCUCUUUUAUGGUAUGUUUUUUAUUCAAAGGAAUUCUCGUCUUAUCAAAAAUCCAGUCAAGGCAGAAAGUGUGGUCCCUGAUAAGCCUGUGUGGACUGCAACGGAUAACCUUGGACGAACAUUUACGCACAUGCAUUUAGCCCCCUUUGCCAGACUGUUGCUCAUUUUGAAUAUUUCCAGAUUCCCUUCAUAGUGUUCCACUAUUGCGGUGUUCUUUCAGAUUGCACACGUUUGUUAUUUGUUUGAAGUUUACCAAAAAUGUUUUUGAAGUUUUGUGUUUGUUAGGUAAUUGGACAAGACGAUUUCACAAGGCACUGUUGCUGUUUCCAUUGCUUUUGCACAAAUGUUGAUAUGUUAUGUGAAAUCUAACAUUGUAAUAUAAGUCAGUUAAGUAAUUGUUGCUGAUAUUUAUCCGAUGUUAUCUUAUGCGCAUGGAAGGUUGACUGGGAAGCUACUCUAUAUGCUUUACAUUUCUUUAUCAGAUUCUGUGGUUUCCCUCCCAACCAUCAACGUCAUGUAAUCCACAUUUUGUUACAUAUGUAUGAUUAUUAUUUUACCUGUACUUGUACCAUGUUAAAACUAAAUGUCAGGGACUUGUUUUUCAACUGCUUGCUUUUGACCCUAAAAGCCAUCUAUUGUUACAUGCUUCUUGACAGUAGAACCUUGCUGACUUCCUGUUGAAAUCCCAGUUUACAUCUACUUGUAUCGUUAAUAUUUUUAGAUCACCUUAGCAUGAAGUGCUGGUGGUUAGCUAUUUUGGUCACUUCAAGUCCGUGAUGGUGCAUCUUGUGUUAUGGAAUUUUAGCUUGUUAUUGCACUUGUUGAAACUUGUGUAGAUUGUUUAUCUGGGAAAUAUCUAUGUUGAGUUAAUAAGGGGGGGGGGGAUGCAUGCAUCCAAACACAAGGUCACCAGAUCAAAUGUUAUAUCAAAAAACUUAUUUUCCCUCUAUAGACCAUGUGUGUGACUCGAUCUUGACGAUUCUUGUUUAACCCUUUCAGUGCGGGAACCGAAUUUUAAAGGCCUUUGAAAACAGUUUGGAUCCAGUUGAGACGCCACAGAACGUGGUGUCUCAUCAGGAUCCAAACUGUUUGCUAUUCUGAUAGUAUUCUUUGAAAAAAAUUCGAAGAAAAUGCUAAUUUUAGAAAUUCAGCAGACAACAUUUUAGCAGACGACAAAUUUCCCAGCAUGCAAAGGGUUAUGUUGACCAUAUUUAUGCAAAGUUAGAAUUUAGGUCCUGUGCUUCCUACCUAGGUCACCAGGUCAAUCCAUGAAAAACCUUGUAACCACUCAAGAGACCACAUAUUUUAUGACUCGAUCUUGAUAAAACUUGGUCAAAAUGUUAUUUUGACAAUACAGGUCCUCUUUCGAUCUGAGUAACCUGUGUCCAAAAACUUACUCACUAGGUCAACUUUUGACUUUUGGUUUACCUCGAACUCGUGUGAGCGCUUCAGGGACAUCAGGGCCCUCUUGUUUAUAGGUCAUGCCUGCCAUACUAGUAGAAAACCAUGAUAGCAAUACAAAUUGUAAAAGGUGUACAUAGUUUUGUGUUAAAAAAUGUCUUGUUAAGUUGAAAGACUAUUAAAAUCCUGAUCAGUUUGACAUCAGUGAGACAUUGAUGACUUACAAAUGCUGGUGACUAGAUUCCUGUGUUAGGAACAUGCACAUUUGCAGGAUUUACAAAUGCAUUUGUAUAAGUAGAUUAGUUAAAGCAUACUCAAGAUGGUCAAGUGGCAAUUAUCAGGAUAUUAGAGGCAAGGUGAAGGCACGGACAUUUUGAUUUCAAAAUGCUAUAUUCCUAAGUUAAUUGAAAGUCUACAUAAUGAACAUCAAUAGUCACAUUAGAAGCUUGGUUAGUAAUUUAUGUACAGUGCUGAUUUAUCUAUGGUAACGAACUGAAAAUAAUUGGUAAAUGUUCUAUGAAUGACCUUUAACAUAAUAUAAAUCCUUUAAUAUGAAUAGCUUAAAGCAUUGAUAUAGAUAUUAAAUUAUUUGAACUUAUUGCACCCACUUGAUUGCUCUAAAUUUGGACUUCAUAUGUAUUACUUGUACCUUGGACUAUUGAAUAAUUUAGCUGUUUUCUUGCUCGCUUUGCUUUACCAUUGCAAUAACUUUUGUUGAAUGCAAAAAUUGGAAAGAAUUGCGAGAUUACCUCAGUAUUAAUCCUAUGUUUUUGUUAUCAGAAGUUUAUUUGCCACUUAGGAUUCGAGUCUUGCCCUGGGACAACUGGAUUAUGGUAAAUGCAUGUGCGUUAAAUGUCAUCACAGCUUAGCCUGUGCAGUCCUCACAGGCUUCAUUAGGGACGAUUCUUACCUCCUUAAUGGUAUUUUUCUGUAGACACUUGAAGCACAUGCACCAAGCCUAGAAUUCCCAGUGAAAGACUUAUUUGAGCAGUGCUUUGUGAUAUAGGGGUUUAAUGCAUGUGCGUAAAGUGCCGUCCCCCAUUAGCCUGUGAAGUCUGCACAGGCUAAUCAGGGAUGGCAGUUUCCGCCUAAACUUGAUUUUUGCUAAGAAGAGACUUUCUUGAAACGAAAAAUAUCAUAAAAGAGGAAAGUGUCACUGAUAAGCCUGCACGAACAGCACAGGCUUAUCCAGGACGACACUUUACGCAAAUGCAUUAAACCCCUUAUCUACAGAAAACGUCUCAUUUGUUUUAGGAAUGCCAUGCCUUGUGUGGCAGCAGUUCAACAUUGUAUGCAAAAAUUGUUAUUACAUAAAACCAGUUCUCGAAUAAAUAUUGUACUGACAGAAAA